rnacentral:rRNA from 1 species
CUACACGGGUAUCUAAUCCCGUUCGCUACCCACGCUUUCGCUCCUCAGCGUCAGGAAUGAGCCAGAAAGCCGCCUUCGCCGCUGGUGUUCCUCCAGAUAUCUACGCAUUUCACCGCUACACCUGGAAUUCCGCUUUCCUCUCUCACCCUCAAGAAGCGCCGUAUCCGAAAAAGCCCCAAGGUUGAGCCUUGAGAUUUCCUUUCGGACGCACGCCCCCGCCUACGAGCUCUUUACGCCCAGUAAUUCCGGGCAACGCUUGCUUCCUACGUCUUACCGCGGCUGCUGGCAC